CCCCCGUGAAGAUGUGCCCCAUAAAGAGCCUAAUAUCUAAUCUCAUUUCCACCAGGCCAGGUUGUUUUCACAGAAAGAAUCGUGUGAAGCAAGUGGCAAGAGACAUGCAGUGAGAAGAGAAAAAUGCUUCUGAUGGUCCCAGUACUGAGAAUAUGCUGUGCAACUCGCACACACUCAACCGCAGAUCUUAUCAGGCUGGUCUGUUUCCACUGAGAGGUGUCUGCUGUUCCCCUCUAUCAGCGAUGCACAGGCAACAGUUGUGGAGAUUAUAAACUUCUUUAUUUUGCAUCCCUGUAGAGAAAGAAAGCAAGGAGGAUGCCAAAUGUUAUGUAUGAUCUGCCAGAGCUGUGCCCAUACCAACCAGUGGCUGUUGUGGAAAAGCUGCCCAUAUGCUGAGAACCCAGCACCGAGGCACAAAGCAACAGGACAAGAGACAAUGGCCGUAAGUUGUGCCAUGGAAGUUCAGGUUGGAUAUUAAGAAAAAAAUUCUUCUCAGAAAGAAUGGUGAGGCUUUGGCACAGGCUGCCCAGGGGGGUGGUGGGGUCACCAUCCCUGGAGGUGUUCCAGAACCAUGGAGACGUGGCACUGAGGGACAUGGUCAGUGAACACAGUGGGUUGAGGUUGGACUUGGUGAUCUUAGAGGUCUCUUCCAACCUGAUUCUGUGAUUCUAUGGUUUUAUGAAAGCACUCUUCCUGCCCUGAAUAUUUCCUUCUUUUAUGGGCAGUUAGUAACGAGAUCAGAAUUGGGCCCUAGGAUCUCCUGUAAAGCAUCCCCUUUAAUGCCUGGUAUUUUUGAAGUGCAUUUACUCUUUGACAUUCUUCUAUAAUGAUAAAGGAUUUACAGGCUUCAUCCCCUGGUGUUCAAGUGCCAGUAACAUCUGAGCUGGAGAGCAGUACCAAGCCAAGAUACAGCGGACUCAGAUUCUGUAGUACUUUGAUAUUGAAACAUGUUGUCUUUCUAAAUUGUAAGGAAAACGAGUAUUUUCUCAUUAUGCGAUCAGAUAGAAGAAAAAUUAUCUCAGGAUGUUUUUGUUUUGGCAUGUAGACAAUUUUGAUUCAAUUCUGGAAAUUUGUUUUGAAGUAUGUUCUGCUCUUCAUGUAUGUAUGUGUAAUACAUGUCAUUUC
ensembl:lncRNA